rnacentral:rRNA from 1 species
UACGUAGGGGGCGAGCGUUGUCCGGAUUUAUUGGGCGUAAAGAGCUCGUAGGCGGCUGUUCGAGUCGGGUGUGAAAUCCUGAGGCUUAACCUCCAGACGUCGAUGGAAACCGUAUGGCUAGAGUCCGGAAGAGGAGAGUGGAAUUCCUGGUGUAGCGGUGAAAUGCGCAGAUAUCAGGAAGAACACCCGUGGCGAAGGCGGCUCUCUGGGACGGUACUGACGCUGAGACGCGAAAGCGUGGGGAGCGAACAGG